UUCGCAAUGCCCGAAAGGGUGACGAAGCGACGCCGCGUGCGGGAAGAAGGCCUUCGGGUUGUAAACCGCUGUCGGGAGUUAGGAAAUGCAAGGAUGUUAAUAGCGUCUUUGCUUGACUAAGGCUCCGGAGGAAGCCACGGCUAACUCUGUGCCAGCAGCCGCGGUAAUACAGAGGCGGCAAGCGUUGUUCGGAAUUAUUGGGCGUAAAGAGCACGUAGGCGGCUGUGUAAGUCGGUUGUGAAAGCCUUCCGCUCAACGGGAGAACGGCAUCCGAUACUGCAUGGCUCGAGUGCGGGAGGGGAGAGUGGAACUUCUGGUGGAGCGGUGAAAUGCGUAGAUAUCAGAAGGAACGUCGGCGGCGAAAGCGACUCUCUGGCCUAUUACUAACACUGAGGUGCGAAAGUUAGGGGAGCAAACGGGAUUAGAUACCCCGGUAGUCCUAACCGUAACCGAUGGGCACUAAGUAGAGGGGUUUU
rnacentral:rRNA from 1 species